UACGUAGGAGGCGAGCGUUGUCCGGAAUUACUGGGCGUAAAGAGCGCGUAGGCGGCUCGGCAAGUCUCAUGUGAAAUCUCCCGGCUUAACUGGGAGGGGUCAUGGGAAACUGCCGGACUUGAGGGCAGCAGAGGAAAGCGGAAUUCCCGGAGUAGUGGUGAAAUGCGUAGAUACCGGGAGGAACACCAGUGGCGAAGGCGGCUUUCUGGGCUGUACCUGACGCUGAGGCGCGAAAGCGUGGGGAGCAAACCGG
rnacentral:misc_RNA from 1 species